AGGCAGAGCUAACGGGGCUUUUGCAGUCCCCGUGCUUGUGAGGGGAAAGAGAUGUAACGGUGCCCUAAUGGCCAGCGGUGCGGCGGAAAGGUCGGCGCGCCUCACUCCCGCGGACGGGAGGGACGGGCGUCACCCCCUGCAAAAGCGAGACGCUCUGGAGUUUUGCUAGACACCGGUGAACGGCUCCUUCCCUUGCCCUUCUCUGAAGAAAUUGGAUUCGGACCUGAAUCCUGCAGGAGCUUGCCAGAUGCUUGACUUUGAUUUCAGUGGAACUACUCAGAGGGUAUUAUGUGAAGUACACGCAACAAUCCAAGAGACUUCAGUCAGUUCAGCAGAGAAGCAGCAGCAACUGUUAACUCCCUAAUUCCUGAGGCAGGACAGAACUUGUUGGAGAAGUACAGAAAAGACAGAAAGAAGAAGAAAAAUAAGAAUGUGAGGGAGAAGAAGCAGGAGUCCUGCCUCUGGUAUAUCUUUCUAUACAUUUGAGGUGGCACAAGAACAGGAGCAAAAAAAAUUUUCUUUACAAGGGAUUUUCUAAUUCCUUUUAAAAACAGAAAUAGGCGUCAUUCCUACUGUUUUGUUGUCUUUGCUUAUUCCCUUCCAGAUAUCAACACUUCCCAGUGCAAAGUUCUGCUGAAAGGAGUUCAGCGCCAACUCUUCCUUUGUUUAAGUAGU